rnacentral:rRNA from 1 species
CGAAGCAGUUAUCAGGGACCUUCCCGAUGAUCAAGAGCGAAAGUUAAGGGUUCGAAAACGAUCAGAUACCGUUGUAGUCUUGACUAUAAACGAUGCAGACUCGCGGUAGGGACCUGUCCCUUUAGACUCUCCCCAGAGCCUAGGGAAACUAAAGUCUUUAGGUUCUGGGGGGAGUAUGGUCGCAAGACUGAAACUUAAAGGAAUUGACGGAAGGGCACACAAAGAGUGGAACCUGCGGCUUAAUUUGACUCAACACGGGAAAACUCACCAGGUCCGGAUACACGGAUGAAAGUCAAGCUGAAAGACUUUACUAAAUGAUGUAAGUGGUGGUGCAUGGUCGUUCGUGGUUCGUGGAUUGAUUUGUCUGGUUAAUUCCGAUAACGAGCGAGACCCCAGCGUUCUAAAUAGGGGGCUUAGCCAAAUGGUGUCGCAAGACGCCAUUAGCUUCGCCCUAUCCCAAACUUCUUAGACGUAUCAGAGCCGACAAGGUUCUUGAAAUGGGUUAAUAACAGGUCAGUCAUGCCCUUAGAUGUUCUGGGCCGCACGCGCGUUACAAUGGCAUGUAAAGCAAGUGCUCCAAUCGAUGAGUCCUCCCAUGGCUGAAGAGUUAACGGUAACCCGUAACACUUGCCUUGACUGGGCUAGAUCAUUGGAAUUAUUGGUCUUAAACGAGGAAUUUUUAGUAAUAGCCAGGUCAUUAGCCUGCGCUGAAUGCGUCCCUGCCCUUUGUACACACCGCC